rnacentral:rRNA from 1 species
AUUGAACGCUGGCGGCAGGCCUAACACAUGCAAGUCGAACGAGUGGCGGAUGGGUGAGAUAUGUCUGGGAAACUUCCUGAUGGAGGGGGACAACUCCGGGAAACCGUAGCCUAUAACGCAUACCAGCAGAUUUGCCUAGAUGGGAUUAGCUAGUUGGUGGGGUAACGGGGCACCAAGGCGACGAUCCGUAGCUGGUCUGCGAGGCUGACCAGCCACACUGGAACUGAGACACGGUCCAGACUACUACGGGAGGCAGCAGUGGGGAAGAUGUCACAAUGGGCGGAAGCCUGAUGCAGCCAUGCCGCGUGUAUGAAGAAGGCCUUCGGGUUGUAAAGUACUUUCAGCGGGGAGGAGUUACCCGCAGAAGAAGCACCGGCUAACUCCGUGCCAGCAGCCGCGGUAAUAC